rnacentral:misc_RNA from 1 species
UAUUUUUGGAGGUGUUGAUAAAAAACAUUAUUCGGGUAGUCAUACCUAUGUCCCAAUUACUCGCAAGGGAUACUGGCAGUUUGAUAUGGGGGAUCUUCUAAUUGGCGGAAAUUCAACUGGCUUUUGUGCCGGAGGUUGUGCUGCUAUUGUAGAUUCGGGGACGUCCUUGCUUGCAGGCCCAACUACUAUUGUGGCCCAAGUCAACCAUGCUAUUGGUGCAGAAGGAAUUGUUAGCAUGGAAUGUAAAGAAGUUGUUAAACAGUAUGGAGAGUUGAUACUUGAGCUGUUAAUUGCAGAGACACGACCUCAGAAGGUGUGCAGCAAAAUUGGGCUGUGUGUAUUUGAUGGUUCUCACUCUACUGGUCCCGGUAUAGAUUCUGUGGUUGAGAAGCAAAGGGGUGGCAGUUCAUCAGUUAAUCAAGAUGUUUACUGUACUGCUUGUGAGAUGGCUGUUAUUUGGAUUCAAAAUCAGCUUAGACUAAAUCAAACUAGAGAACGGAUAUUGACCUAUGCAAAUGAGCUGUGUGAACGGCUGCCAAGCCCCAUGGGAGAAUCAACUGUAGACUGCGACAAGAUUUCAAGCAUGACAGACAUAACUUUCAUGAUUGGUGAUAAAGCCUUUACCCUUACCCCAGAAGAGUAUGUUUUGAAAAUUGGGGAGGGAGAUGCUACUAUUUGUUUGAGUGGCUUUAUGGCAUUUGAUGUACCUCCUCCUCGCGGACCUCUCUGGAUUCUUGGAGACGUCUUCAUGGGCGCGUACCACACGGUGUUCGACUUCGGUGAUGACAAAAUAGGAUUUGCUAAGUCUGCUAAAUGAGUUAUAAUGCCACUGUCUAGUAUGUAUAUAAACUACUUUGAUAUGCAUCAUAAUCUGGAUUCUGAUGUGUGUACUGUAAUAAAGGUUCAUGUAUGGUGUUAUGC